GUUUCAACCCGGUGCGCAGACGGACGCGAGUCUUCGGUGUCUUUCGAUACAAGAAAUCCCGCGAAGUUCGAUCAUCCAGCUGUUGAGCUCCCUCCUCCUCCUGUGCUCAGUGACUGACAGACACCGAUCAGGUGGCCCAGAUUUCAUCGCGUUUAUCGGUUACGGUGGGUGGAAAACAUGAGUAAAUACGCGAUCGUCGUGCUUUGCGCCGUGGCACUUGCGGUCGCCCAGCUGGCCGAGGCCGCCAAGGAAAAGCACAUCAAGUACAACAAGGAGAAGGACAUGAUGCGGAAGUCGAUCGUGUACGACAAGAACACGCCCGACGUGUUCUACUGCCCGACGAACAAGCCUACCGGAAUGGACAAGAUGAUCGUUAGAUCACGCCCCAUUCACAAACUUUGCGAGUAUGAAGGCAAACCACUUCCAGAGGACUACAAAUCCGACUGCUACAAGGAUCUCGACGAGAGUGACUACGCGUGCAAGGAGAAAUACAGGAUCAUGAAACGAUACGCCAAAGAUAAUGUCGAGAUCUAAUCAAAGCCACUUUUACACGCCUAAUAAAAACAAGCGAAAAUACCAAUAAAAGCUACCAUCCACACCCACACACUUUCAAAUCAGCCAACCAACACCAACACAGCGCCACGCAGUGCACCACAUAAGAGAAUCUUCUAUGCUAGAAACAUGCGAAACUUCUUCGCAAAAAAUGACUUUACUGACUUCUACAAACCCGUUGACUUUCACCAGUCUGUUUUCCGAUUAGAUUGUCCCACCCUUGAUAACAAUUUUAAUUGUACUCUUCUUUUCCCCUUCAAAAAUCGUAACAAAUUUUCCUUUCAUUUUCUGCAUAACGAGAAAAAAAUUAAUUCGUAACGAAUAAAAAAUACUGCUUCCCUGCCGAUUUAAUGCCAAAUUAGAUAAACUAGCUAAAAUUUCCAAUAAGCGUUCUAUCUGAAAAAAACGAAGAUGAAAUUUAUGAGGUUUACAAAGAUGAGAGGUUUCAACUAGCGGUUACCAAAUAAUAACAUCAAAAAACAAAAACAUUGCUUCCUAACUUUACAGUAAUAAAAAUAAAAUGUAAUAUAGUAAAAUUCAAACCGAACAUUUAAAAAUGGGACACAAUUGACAGCACAACAAUCUUUACAUAUUUUUUAACAAUGUGCUGUUCAAACAUCCGAGUAUACUAUUUUCUGAAUAUUUUUCAUAUACUUAAAAUAUGACAAACCAUCUACACUCUACAGCCUAUCAACACACUUUACAAAUGUAUCAAAAUAACCAAAAUCAUAAUGUUAUAGCUUAUGAUGAAUGGCUUUAGAAACCGCCUAAGCUUUUAUUAAUAACAGUAACUUAAUUUUUUAUCAUUAACAUAGUAUACUCCUCAUCCCUAUAUCCAUAACCCAAAAAUACUAACAUUCCUACCCAACUUUGAGACGCCUUCGACCACCUUCGACGCCAAAACCUUAACUUGUACAAAAACGCCAUAUAUUCGCAAUCUGGGUUGUUUGCAAAAAAGCAAGAAACAUUCACAGGACUCGCAGUUAGCAACAGAUGCGAAUGCACCCACCAGGCAGUGACGCGCCCUUCAAUGGCAGCCGGCUGAGUCGGUUCAUCGAUAUGGACGAGGACAUGAAGCGAGUUAAGUCGAAACGGCAGCUGUAGGCCGAACCAUCCUGGUCGAGACAGCGGAAAGUGUUAUGUUUCUGUAAAUAAUCCAAUUGCCAUAUGUUUAAAUUUAUGCCACAAAAGAAACGAAUUGGAGCAAGUCAUGUACGCCAAUACUGCACAACCUUAACGUUCCUUAAAAUGGGAAACUCACGUAGAUGGAAUGUGAAAACCAUGGUUGUUUCAUCAGCAGCAUUUGUAUUUGUAAAGAUUGUUUUGUUGUUGAUACUAUCUGGGUAAUAGUAAUUUAGUGGAAACGAAGUUCUGAAUGUUUUGCAAAAAAGGUUUUUUUAAUCUUUAAAAACAAAUUUAAUAACAAA